rnacentral:misc_RNA from 1 species
UCGAGUGAGGGUCUUCCGGCCCGACCUCCCAACCCUAUGUCUACCCGACCUCACGUUGCCUCGGCGGGCCCGUCCCCGGCGGACCGUCGGAGGAUGGCCUCCAAGCCUCCUCUGGCCCGCGCCCGUCGAGAGCCAUAACCCCAAACUCAUGAACAAAUCGUGCCUUAUCUCUAAGUACCCAAGCAAAAUAUAAAGCA